rnacentral:rRNA from 1 species
AUUGAACGCUGGCGGUAGGCCUAACACAUGCAAGUCGAACGCGAAAGUCCUUCGGGAUGAGUAGAGUGGCGGACGGGUGAGUAACGCGUAGGAAUCUAUCCUGUAGUGGGGGAUAACGUUUCGAAAGGAACGCUAAUACCGCAUACGCCCUACGGGGGAAAGCGGGGGAUCUUCGGACCUCGUGCUAGAGGAGGAGCCUGCGUCGGAUUAGCUAGUUGGUGAGGUAAAGGCUCACCAAGGCGACGAUCCGUAGCUGGUCUGAGAGGAUGAUCAGCCACACCGGAACUGAGACACGGUCCGGACUCCUACGGGAGGCAGCAGUGGGGAAUAUUGCGCAAUGGGCGAAAGCCUGACGCAGCCAUACCGCGUGUGUGAAGAAGGCCUUCGGGUUGUAAAGCACUUUCAGUGGGGAGGAAAAGCGGGUGGCUAAUAUCCAUCGGCCGUGACGCUACCCACAGAAGAAGCACCGGCUAAUUCCGUG